rfam:Oryza glumipatula chromosome 1, whole genome shotgun sequence.
CCCAAGUGCAAUUUUGUACGGUUUAUAUCCAAAGUUUGACCGUUUGUCUUAUUUAAAAAAAUAUAAUAUUUUUUAUUACUAUUAGAUGAUAAAAUAUAAAUAAUACUUUAUGUGUGACUAUUUUUUAUUCUUUUAUAAUUUUUUUAAAUAAGAUAGAUGGUCAAAUAUUGAACACGUAUACCCACGGCUGUACUUAUU